UAACAGUGCCCAAAUCUCCAAUCUCCAUUUCCCACCUACAAUCCUGAAUCUCAAACCCAACCAUUUGUUUCAAAAUGUGAUGCAACUAGUGCAUCGCCUACCGUCGUCGUGUCGUGAACCCAUGGCGAGUUGGUGAAUAACUCCAUCAUGGUUUCAUGAAGUCGUGGUGAGUCGAAGAAGAAGAGGGCACAAACGUUGAUUCGUAUUUGUUUCUCCGUCCCCAUUAAGUAUCCCAAUGUCUUACGGAAAUAAAGAACUUUGAGUUGAUUCUCUUUUGCUGAUAGUUGUUUGAGCUGGACUUUGACAAAUGAGGCUUUGAGUUCUACAUUAAU
rnacentral:lncRNA from 1 species